rnacentral:lncRNA from 1 species
AAGGAGGAAGAGAAAAUAGGGGUUGGAAAAGAUUAAUGAUUGGAGGUAAGAUACUAUUGAUUGAUCAAUUGGAUCAACCCUCAUUCGGCCAUGACCCUUUAAUUUAUAUUUAUAGGGUGGAAAGUUCUUGCCCCGCAAAGAAAUUGUUUUACAAGUCAUGAUUUACAAGGACUUCUCAAUUCUACUCAGAUUAUGGGUAAACCAGUCAGACCGCUUUGCAAACCAGUCAGACCGGUUCGUAUUGCCAGGUUGGCUACAGGACCUAGUCCGG